UAUAUUUUGGGCAUAAAAUACAUUCAUAAAAGUUAAAGUUUGGUCAAAAAUAAUAAACCUAAAAGAAAAUGGAAAUUUUAGGGCAUUUUGUGUUAAAUGCCUAAUUUUACCGAAAUGGGGAAUUUUAUUCCAUGAAUGGACCUUAGGUUAAAUUUUACUAUGUGAUUAAUUAAAUUAAAUGUGAGAGACAUUUAAUUUAAUUAAUUAAUGUUAAGUUUGGUGAUUAAAACUUAAUAAGAGUGAAAAAAAAAGGUGUCAAAAGCCAAUUUGGACUUUUCUUCUUAUGAAACAUUUAUUAACCUUUAAAAAAAAAAAAAAAUUAAAAAAAUAAUGAAAUGAUCAUAUAUGGCAAAGGGUGGCCAGCCAUGUGGUGUUUUAGAGUGGUGUGAACCCAAUUCUAUAAAGUUUAACUCCCUUUUUAAUUAAGAAGUCAAGUGGGCAAGUGGGUAGAAAAGCACUCAAGUGUUUUGUGAUAUUUUGAAGAGUUGUGUGAGCCAUUCUAACCCCCAAAUCCGACCACUCUCCCUCUCUCAUUCACUCUCAUCUGAUUUUUUAAGACCAUUCAAAGUGUUCUCUCAAUAUUCAACCUCAAGAACACCAAGGAAAACUUGGAGGCUAAGUCUUGGUCUAGGAAGUAUUUUCCCUAAGUUGGUUAGGGUUUUUGAAAGGUUUUGGAGGAGCCAAAGCUAAUAGGAAGGUCCAAACCUUAAGCAAGAACACCAAAGAGGUCAGUGCAAGGGCAAGGCAGAGCAGUGAGCGCUGGAGUCUUCCUUGCAAAUGUACAUGUGGACCGACCUUUUGGGAAGCCUUUUUAUUUUUGGAAAUGUUGUGUAAUUUUCCUAAACUAGGCUCACUCUAAUCUUUAUAAAACAUGUUUGUAAUUAAAUGUUAAGUAUGGCCAUACGACUUUUUAAAAAGUUUUUUUUUCUA